rnacentral:rRNA from 1 species
UGGGGAAUAUUGCACAAUGGGCGGAAGCCUGAUGCAGCGACGCCGCGUGAGGGAUGACGGCCUUCGGGUUGUAAACCUCUUUCAGUAGGGACGAAGCGUAAGUGACGGUACCUGCAGAAGAAGCACCGGCUAACUACGUGCCAGCAGCCGCGGUAAUACGUAGGGUGCGAGCGUUGUCCGGAAUUACUGGGCGUAAAGAGCUCGUAGGCGGUUUGUCACGUCGUCUGUGAAAUCCUAGGGCUUAACCCUGGACGUGCAGGCGAUACGGGCUGACUUGAGUACUACAGGGGGGGCUGGAAUUUCUGGUGUAGCGGUGGAAUGCACAGAUAUCAGGAAGAACACCGAUGGCGAAGGCAGGUCUCUGGGUAGUAACUGACGCUGGGGAGCGAAAGCAUGGGUAGCGAACAGG